UCCAGAGCCUGAAAUUGGCGCUACUCUGUCGAUAGCAGUUUUUUCACAUGCCAUGACAUGAUUGGUAAUGGGCCAUCGGCCAUGGGCCGUGCCCAAUAUCUUUUGAAGGUGCUGCAGGGUAAUAAGUGAAUAAGUUUGGACUAUAAAAUGUAAGAGAUAAUGUCUUAUUAAAAAGCAAAUCCAAAUGUUCUUACAAAAACUGGUACAUUUUGCCACAAAAAGGCAAUUUCCAAGCUCCUUUUUGGACACAUUAUUGGGAGUUCAACCUCAUUUUCAUUAAGUAAGCACAAGCGCACCUACAUGUAUGUUUGACCACACACAAUUUGCAUGCAAUUGUCCCUGGAUACGUGGUUAUGUACGUUACGACAAACAUGGAUGCACCCGGCCAUGUGGAGCUGUAGUUUGUGCUUGGCAUGUCACAGAUGUUGAAGAGCCUGUUGCAGUGUUGUACCGCUCAAAGACGUUUCAUGAAACAAGACAGUUAAAUGUGAGGUGGUCAGAGCAUGGACAGAGCUAGAGGAAGAUGGAGCAAGGAGAGGCCGAUGUGUAGGCAGCAUCACUAAAGGGAGCAGAACCUGAGCAAGUUCUAAGCACAGGUUUAUUAAAGGAGCUUGCUCCAAAGAAAAACAAGCUCCAGUGAGGACCCAGGUGACGGCGACGGCGACUUAACAGUGAUGAUUGAGGAUCACAAGCAGUGGUUGGACAAAACAGCAGAUUUGCCUAUGUUGAAAGCUGGCUAAGAUAUCCUGCUUUGCAGUGUGAGUGGACUCACCAGUGAUGAAAUCUCAUCGUUUGAAGAUGCAGGCUACAUGCACAUCAUGAAUGACAUCAGACAUUGUGGCAUGAAAGCUGUGCAUAUGCCCAUGGAAACCAUAUCUACGGUGCUGAUGAGAAGAGCGCCCUCGCCUGCUUCAACGAGAGAAGAUAAAGGACAGCAUCCUGUGGAUUCGCGAGAACGUCAAGAUGUUGGUCCUCGCCUCCUUCACUGAGGAAGAGUUUCCACAUCAGAAACUCAAGCAGUGGUCCAAACAGGCAAGGAAAAGACUACUUCCUUGCUUCUGCCUUACAGUGACGUAGAUCUGUGCCAGGGGGAGGGGUACUGGACACUGGCGUGCACUGUUUGUGAUACAAUGUACGCAUAAUAUACCCCUUUAUCUUACAUCUCCCAUUUUUAGGACCUGUUAUUAACAAGGUUUGACUGUACACCCCCCCAUUUUUAUGUCCCUGCCACCUUAUAACGAAGCAAGACUUUGUUCAUUUGUAUAUGGGAGAAAAAAGUUCCAUACAUGGACAUCACUUGACAUCACGUGCACAAACCUUAUGUACGAGGCCUGUCUAAGAAAUUCCAAGUAUUGUCUAAUUAAAUGCUGCAAUAUUUUUGCAGCUAAAUUUGAAUAUUCAGGAUGUGUUAUUAGUUUCUGAAGGCUGAUUUAAAACAGGGAAAAGUCAGUGAUGUCCAUGUGUGGAACUUGUUCCAUGCUGGUAAAAACUUUCAUCCAAAUUCUUGACUAAAAAGGUAUUUUCGGAAGUUAAAAUACACAGUUGGACAGAUUGCAUUUCGUUAACCAUUCCAAGUAAUUUCAUCAUGGUACAAUUACUCUCAUAUUUGUAGGUUUUCGUACUUUAAAAACAUUUUUGGGGAGUCAGGUUGGUGUGGCAGUUCUUUCCUUGCCUUCCACCUCAGCGGCUCAGGUUCGAAUCCCACCUAGGCCCACAACCUCUAAAAACUGACGAUUUAUUUUCCUCUCCAUUGCCACUCGUAUCAUCCAGCAAUAAGCGCUGAAUGUACAUUGGAUGAAUAGUAAUAAAUAACAGUAAACUGUUAAGUGGCAGCCAUGUGCACGUAAAUAAUCUCUAUGGGAGGAUUUCCAAUGGACACUUAUUACCAACUGUAGCUAGUACACUUUUUAAGCCAUUUGUGGAUGCGAGAUGGAGCUAGUGUCAAGUUUUUAAAGGUGGGAAGAAAAACCCAGAUAAAUAUUCAUGGGUAAACCAAGGAAUCAAGUAGGGACUGAAAACCCUGGCAAUCCACACAUCAGCUCAGACAAGAUUUGAUUCUAGGAUGCUGAGGUAGAAGGUGAGGAUAGUAUUACUCUGCCAACCUGUCUCCCCAAAAUAAAAUGAACUAACUUUAUUGCGAUGCUAUACUUCAAAAACUCCAAUUUGUUGUGUCAGUGCUAACUGACUGAAAAAUUGCAUUAAAUGGUCCUUAUUGAAAAAUACUAUUUAUUUUAAACAUGAAAUUGGACAAGAAAAUAUGUUGAAAUUUAAAUGUUUGCCAAAAAAACUACUUUAAUACAUAAAAGUAAACCGCAUGCUAUCUGUUUCAAUACAACAUUUCUUCAGAGUAAGGCACUAAGAGUGUUUUCAAAACUUUUAUUUUUGCUGUAAUGACCUUUUAGCACUGACCCAACGAAUUUUUAUCAUAAAAUAGUCCCUGUUUGGAAAGACUACAUGUACAGUCAAGGGCACUAGGAAAUUGCAUGCUUUUUAAAACGUGAACGGAGUAUUGCACAUUUCACAUCUUCCCUUUUCCCAUUCAAUCAAAAUAUGAUUUCUGUACCUAUCAACACAUAAUCAGCCUAUCCAGUGGCUAUUCCAAACCUCACUGUGGCAAGUUUUUAUCACUUCCUGGAAAAAGUUCUGUGUGCCUUAGUAUUUUCCUAGUGUAAGUCUUUCAAUUAUUGGCCUUUCCAAUUUUAAUUAUCACCAAAAAUUUAAAUCAGAAAUUUGCUUGGUUUACAAAUUUAGCUUGCUGUUGCCUUUUCCAGGUAUAUUUUUUUAUUUCAAAAAUUAUUAUGUAUCAGAACCAUUUCAAUAAGUGGGCUUUUUAUGAAAUAAAUGUUUUAAGUUAUAGAACUGUUUUGUUUAAUUCUGUUUUGUGAAAAUGUAGUACUUUGCCAUUUUAGCCCAUUCCCCCAAUUCAACCGUUUUACAUUGCCAGAGUUGCAUCUAUUUUCCAUCUUCAGAUUUUACAUUCCAGCCCCAUCCUAAGCCCUGCCAGUCUUAGACAUCUUCCAAGCUCUGCUCCUUACAUGAAGUUCCCUCUCUGAGCAUUUUAGUCUCAAUCCUAUAAGGGCUACAAUAAACCCACAGGCAAUCUGGAACAUUGAGAAGCUAUGUCCUUCAAUCCCAUAAGAUCCUCAGAGCUCUAAUACUGAUAGUCCCAAGCCCUCAGCCAUCCACUCUACCCUUCCUAUCAGCUCUCAGACUUCCAGCCCCUAGGACUGCCAUCCUUGCCCAUCUCCAGUACACAGUUUGGCUGAAAAUAUUCUAAGUCCAAACAAUGGAAGGUUUAACAUUUAGAAACGAACACAUUU
rnacentral:lncRNA from 1 species